rnacentral:rRNA from 1 species
GAUGAACGCUGGCGGCGUGCCUAAUACAUGCAAGUCGAGCGAACGGACGAGAAGCUUGCUUCUCUGAUGUUAGCGGCGGACGGGUGAGUAACACGUGGAUAACCUACCUAUAAGACUGGGAUAACUUCGGGAAACCGGAGCUAAUACCGGAUAAUAUUUUGAACCGCAUGGUUCAAAAGUAAAAGACGGUCUUGCUGUCACUUAUAGAUGGAUCCGCGCUGCAUUAGCUAGUUGGUAAGGUAACGGCUUACCAAGGCAACGAUGCAUAGCCGACCUGAGAGGGUGAUCGGCCACACUGGAACUGAGACACGGUCCAGACUCCUACGGGAGGCAGCAGUAGGGAAUCUUCCGCAAUAGGCGAAAGCCUGACGGAGCAACGCCGCGUGAGUGAUGAAGGUCUUCGGAUCGUAAAACUCUGUUAUUAGGGAAGAACAUAUGUGUAAGUAACUGUGCACAUCUUGACGGUACCUAAUCAGAAAGCCACGGCUAACUACGUG